rnacentral:rRNA from 1 species
CCCAGACUCCUACGGGAGGCAGCAGUGGGGGAUAUUGCACAAUGGGGGGAACCCUGAUGCAGCGACGCCGCGUGGGUGAAGGAGCGUUUCGGCGCGUAAAGCCCUAUCGGCAGGGAAGAAGGAGGACGGUACCUGACUAAGAAGCCCCGGCUAACUACGUGCCAGCAGCCGCGGUAAUACGUAGGGGGCAAGCGUUAUCCGGAUUUACUGGGUGUAAAGGGGGCGCAGACGGCAGCGCAAGCCAGGAGUGAAAGCCCGGGGCCCAACCCCGGGACUGCUCUUGGAACUGCGCGGCUGGAGUGCAGGAGGGGCAGGCGGAAUUCCUGGUGUAGCGGUGAAAUGCGUAGAUAUCAGGAGGAACACCGGUGGCGAAGGCGGCCUGCUGGACUGCGACUGACGUUGAGGCCCGAAAGCGUGGGGAGCAAACAGGAUUAGAUACCCGAGUAGGA